UUUCCUACGGGACGCAGCAGUGGGGAAUAUUGCACAAUGGGGGAAACCCUGAUGCAGCGACGCCGCGUGAGUGAAGAAGUAUCUCGGUAUGUAAAGCUCUAUCAGCAGGAAAGAUAAUGACAGUACCUGACCAAGAAGCCCCGGCUAACUACGUGCCAGCAGCCGCGGUAAUACGUAGGGGGCAAGCGUUAUCCGGAUUUACUGGGUGUAAAGGGAGCGCAGGCGGCGUGGCAAGUCAGAUGUGAAAACCCGGGGCCCAACCCCGGGAGUGCAUUUGAAACUGCCAUGCUGGAGUGCCGGAGAGG
rnacentral:rRNA from 1 species